rnacentral:lncRNA from 1 species
GUCAAACCAGGAUCUUCACUACAGCAGUAUGCUGUAUGGGAAGCAGAGAAAGGAGGAGGCAGAGAGAGAAGGGAGGGAGGAAGGAAGAGGGCAUCAGCUGAUACACACAAGAAAUGGACUGUCCCCCUCUGUCCCUGUCUCGUCCCUGUCUCCUCCCUGCAACCUGGGGUGCUAGGCAAGAAAACAUGACACAACUAAAAUUACAGUGGAACAGGACUUGCAGGAGACAACAGCCACACUGACCAUAGCUAACAACUAAGGAGAUAAUUCAACAGCAUCAAAAUAUGAAGAGCUACACUGUGAAGCCUGGCCUGUACCAAGGAGCUGCACUGUGGUGCCCCACCUGUAUGAAGGAGCUACACUGUGGUGCCCCACCUGUAUGAAGGAGCUGCACUGUGGAGCCCCACCUGUACAAAGGAACUGCACUGUGGAGUCUGGCCUGGCCUGUACCAAGAAGCUGCAGUGUGGAGCCCGGCCUGUACCAAGGAACUGUACUGUGGAGCCCCACCUGUACCAAGGAGCCUGGCCUGUACCA